rnacentral:rRNA from 1 species
AGAGUUUGAUCCUGGCUCAGAACGAACGCUGGCGGCGUGGAUAAGACAUGCAAGUCGAACGAGAGAAUUGCUAGCUUGCUAAUAAUUCUCUAGUGGCGCACGGGUGAGUAACACGUGAGUGACCUGCCCCCGAGAGCAGGAUAGCCCUGGGAAACUGGGAUUAAUACCGCAUAGUAUCGAAAGAUUAAAGCAGCAAUGCGCUUGGGGAUGGGCUCGCGGCCUAUUAGCUAGUUGGUGAGGUAACGGCUCACCAAGGCGAUGACGGGUAGCCGGUCUGAGAGGAUGUCCGGCCACACUGGAACUGAGACACGGUCCAGACACCUACGGGUGGCAGCAGUCGAGAAUCAUUCACAAUGGGGGAAACCCUGAUGGUGCGACGCCGCGUGGGGGAAUGAAGGUCUUCGGAUUGUAAACCCCUGUCAUGUGGGAGCAAAUUAAAAAGAUAGUACCACAAGAGGAAGAGACGGCUAACUCUGUGCCAGCAGCCGCGGUAAUACAGAGGUCUCAA